ACCCCGGGGGUGGCAGUGUCCCCACUGUCCCCAUUGUCCCCAGUGGUGUUCGGCGAGCACUCCCUCCUCGUCACCGUCUCGGGACAGAAACUCUUCGUGGUCAAGCGCCACCACCACGUCCAGGAGCCGGUGGCCGUGUGAGGAAUGUCCCCAAGCGUCCCCAGAGUGUCCCCAGAGGAGGUGGCACCGCUCCCGGCCGCCUCCCGCUGUCCCCAGAGUGUCCCCAAAUCCCCCCCGUGGGGACAAUAAACGACGUCCGAGGGUGGCUUUGGUGCUGUGUGACCUCCUUGGGGACGUCCAGGUGGCACCAGGUGACAUCCAGGUCCCCUUGGUGACAUCCAGACCCUCCAGGUGACACCAGGUGACAUCCAGGUCCCCCCUUGGGGACAUCCAGGACACCCCUGGGGACAUCCAGGUGGCAUCAGGUGACA